rnacentral:lncRNA from 1 species
GUCUGGUAGACCCCACCUGGGUACCUGUAGGGGAACAGAGCUGUCUCAGAACGUCGAUGUCUGGUAGACCCCACCCUGGGUUCCUGUAGGGGAACAGAGCUGUCUCAGAACGUCGAUGUCUGGUAGACCCCACCCGGGUUCCUGUAGGGAACAGAGCUGUCUCAGAACGUCGAUGUCUGGUAGAACCCACCCUGGGUACCUGUAGGGGAACAGAGCUGUCUCAGAACGUCGAGUCUGGUAGACCCCACCCUGGGUACUGUAGGGGAACAGAGCUGUCUCAGAACGUCGUGUCUGGUAGACCCCACCCUGGGUACCUGUAGGGGAACAGAGCUGUCUCAGAACGUCGAUGUCUGGUAGACCCCACCCUGGGUUCCUGUAGGGGAACAGAACAGACAUGGUAAAACAGAGCGACGGUUGGGAUUCAUGGCUUUGACCCUCAACCCUGGGUGACAAUGGGAAGAAGCUAUAUGGUAGUAGCUCCGCAUUGGCCAGCUCCUCUCUUAUGAUGUAAUAACUCCCAUCUGUCGUAGUUCCUGGUCCAAGUCUGCAUACAGCUGGGGGGUGAUGGUGCCGUUGUGGGUAGGGCUGGGGAGGGAGAGAGAGUUGUCUGACGUUUAAAAAACAUCUCUCUCCCCCCCCCCUCCCCCUCCCAUCCAUGUACCUACCCAUGUGUGAUCAAGAGACCAUUUUGUGACGGUGUCGAGAAAGAGCUGUACUGAAGCAGGUUAAUGGCCACGUGACAUCACAGGCCCCGCGUGGAAGGCCCGCCCACUUCUCCCAGGGUUCGGCUGGUGCACAGGCUGCAGCACGGUCUUCACUUUGGUCACCGAUAUGUAGGAUCUGAUACCCGCAAAUAAACACCACACCCACUGGAGCCAUGACCCCAUAGGUUCCAUAGACAGUAUGAAAUGUUGGAGCCAUAACCCCAUAGGUUCCAUAGACAGUAUGAAAUGUUUGAGCCAUAACCCCAUAGGUUCCAUAGACAGUAUGAAAUGUUGGAGCCAUACACCCAUAGGUUUCCAUAGACAGUAUAGAAUGUUUGAGCCAUGACCCCCAUAGGAUCCAUAGACAGUAUGAAACUGUUGGAGCCAUAACCCCAUAGGUUCCAUAGACGUAUGAAAUGUUUGAGCCAUAAACCCAUAGGUUCCAUAGACAGUAUGAAAUGUUUGAGCAAGUGCAGGCCCGGCAAAAAUAUGACAUCUAAUGACUUGACGCUCGUGGUCAGCAAGAGCAUUGUUAUUACA